AACGCACAUUGCGCCCGCCAGCAUUCUGGCGGGCAUGCCUGUCCGAGCGUCAUUUCAACCCUCGGGCCCCCCUUCCUGCCUCGCGCGGGGGGGGAGCCCGGCGUUGGGGAUCGGCACGCGCCCGCCCGCCUCACCGCGGGGCGCCGCCGUCCCCGAAAUCCAGUGGCGGCCACGCCGCGCGCUCCUCUGCGUAGUAGUCUACACCUCGCACCGGACCGCGGCGCGGCCACGCCGUAAAACCCCCGACCACGCAAGGUUGACCUCGGAUCAGGUAGGAAUACCCGCUGAACUUAA
rnacentral:misc_RNA from 1 species